rnacentral:rRNA from 1 species
UCGAUUAGUUUGAUCCUGGCUCAGGACGAACGCUGGCGGCGUGCUUAACACAUGCAAGUCGAACGGUGAUGAGGAGCUUGCUUCUCUGAUCAGUGGCGAACGGGUGAGUAACACGUGAGCAAUCUGCCCUUGACUCUGGGAUAAGCGUUGGAAACGACGUCUAAUACCGGAUACGACUCUUGGAGGCAUCUCUGGGGGUGGAAAGAAUUUUGGUCAAGGAUGAGCUCGCGGCCUAUCAGCUUGUUGGUGAGGUAAUGGCUCACCAAGGCGACGACGGGUAGCCGGCCUGAGAGGGUGACCGGCCACACUGGAACUGAUACACGGCCCAGACUCCUACGGGAGGCAGCAGUGGGGAAUAUUGCACAAUGGGCGAAAGCCUGAUGCAGCAACGCCGCGUGAGGGACGACGGCCUUCGGGUUGUAAACCUCUUUUAGUAGGGAAGAAGCGUAACAGUGACGGUACCUGCAGAAAAAGCACCGGCUAACUACGUGCCAGCAGCCGCGGUAAUACGUAGGGUGCAAGCGUUGUCCGGAAUUAUUGGGCGUAAAGAGCUCGUAGGCGGUUUGUCGCGUCUGCUGUGAAAACCCGAGGCUCAACCUCGGGCCUGCAGUGGGUACGGGCAGA